AUACGGAUUCUUAACGUCGCAAGACGAAAAAUGAAUACCAAGUCUCAAGAGUGAACACGUAAUUCAUUACGAAGUUUAAUUCUUUGAGCAUCAAACUUUUAAAUUGAAGAGUUUGAUCAUGGCUCAGAUUGAACGCUGGCGGCAGGCCUAACACAUGCAAGUCGAACGGUAACAGGAANGUAGAGGGGGGUAGAAUUCCAGGUGUAGCGGUGAAAUGCGUAGAGAUCUGGAGGAAUACCGGUGGCGAAGGCGGCCCCCUGGACGAAGACUGACGCUCAGGUGCGAAAGCGUGGGGAGCAAACAGGAUUAGAUACCCUGGUAGUCCACGCCGUAAACGAUGUCGACUUGGAGGUUGUGCCCUUGAGGCGUGGCUUCCGGAGCUAACGCGUUAAGUCGACCGCCUGGGGAGUACGGCCGCAAGGUUAAAACUCAAAUGAAUUGACGGGGGCCCGCACAAGCGGUGGAGCAUGUGGUUUAAUUCGAUGCAACGCGAAGAACCUUACCUGGUCUUGACAUCCACAGAACUUUCCAGAGAUGGAUUGGUGCCUUCGGGAACUGUGAGACAGGUGCUGCAUGGCUGUCGUCAGCUCGUGUUGUGAAAUGUUGGGUUAAGUCCCGCAACGAGCGCAACCCUUAUCCUUUGUUGCCAGCGGUCCGGCCGGGAACUCAAAGGAGACUGCCAGUGAUAAACUGGAGGAAGGUGGGGAUGACGUCAAGUCAUCAUGGCCCUUACGACCAGGGCUACACACGUGCUACAAUGGCGCAUACAAAGAGAAGCGACCUCGCGAGAGCAAGCGGACCUCAUAAAGUGCGUCGUAGUCCGGAUUGGAGUCUGCAACUCGACUCCAUGAAGUCGGAAUCGCUAGUAAUCGUGGAUCAGAAUGCCACGGUGAAUACGUUCCCGGGCCUUGUACACACCGCCCGUCACACCAUGGGAGUGGGUUGCAAAAGAAGUAGGUAGCUUAACCUUCGGGAGGGCGCUUACCACUUUGUGAUUCAUGACUGGGGUGAAGUCGUAACAAGGUAACCGUAGGGGAACCUGCGGUUG
rnacentral:rRNA from 1 species